rnacentral:rRNA from 1 species
GUUGAACGCUGGCGGCAGGCUUAACACAUGCAAGUCGAGCGGGGGAAGGUAGCUUGCUACCGGACCUAGCGGCGGACGGGUGAGUAAUGCUUAGGAAUCUGCCUAUUAGUGGGGGACAACAUCUCGAAAGGGAUGCUAAUACCGCAUACGUCCUACGGGAGAAAGCAGGGGAUCUUCGGACCUUGCGCUAAUAGAUGAGCCUAAGUCGGAUUAGCUAGUUGGUGGGGUAAAGGCCUACCAAGGCGACGAUCUGUAGCGGGUCUGAGAGGAUGAUUCGCCACACUGGGACUGAGACACGGCCCAGACUCCUACGGGAGGAAGCAGUGGGGAAUAUUGGAAAAUGGGGGGAACCCUGAACCAGCCAUGCCGCGUGUGUGAAGAAGGCCUUAUGGUUGUAAAGCACUUUAAGCGAGGAGGAGGCUACUCUAGUUAAUACCUAGGGAUAGUGGACGUUACUCGCAGAAUAAGCACCGGCUAACUCUGUGCCAGCCGCCGCCGUAA